CACGUAGGGCGCAAGCGUUGUCCGGAAUUAUUGGGCGUAAAGAGCUCGUAGGCGGUCUGUUACGUCGGCUGUGAAAACCUGGGGCUCAACCCCGGGCCUGCAGCCGAUACGGGCAGACUAGAAUUCGGUAGGGGAGACUGGAAUUCCUGGUGUAGCGGUGGAAUGCGCAGAUAUCAGGAGGAACACCGGUGGCGAAGGCGGGUCUCUGGGCCGACAUUGACGCUGAGGAGCGAAAGCGUGGGGAGCGAACAGG
rnacentral:rRNA from 1 species